CUAAUACAUGCAAGUCGAGCGAGCUUGCCUAGAUGAUUUUAGUGCUUGCACUAAAUGAAACUAGAUACAAGCGAGCGGCGGACGGGUGAGUAACACGUGGGUAACCUGCCCAAGAGACUGGGAUAACACCUGGAAACAGAUGCUAAUACCGGAUAACAACACUAGACGCAUGUCUAGAGUUUGAAAGAUGGUUCUGCUAUCACUCUUGGAUGGACCUGCGGUGCAUUAGCUAGUUGGUAAGGUAAUGGCUUACCAAGGCGAUGAUGCAUAGCCGAGUUGAGAGACUGAUCGGCCACAUUGGGACUGAGACACGGCCCAAACUCCUACGGGAGGCAGCAGUAGGGAAUCUUCCACAAUGGACGAAAGUCUGAUGGAGCAACGCCGCGUGAGUGAAGAAGGGUUUCGGCUCGUAAAGCUCUGUUGGUAGUGAAGAAAGAUAGAGGUAGUAACUGGCCUUUAUUUGACGGUAAUUACUUAGAAAGUCACGGCUAACUACGUGCCAGCAGCCGCGGUAAUACGUAGGUGGCAAGCGUUGUCCGGAUUUAUUGGGCGUAAAGCGAGUGCAGGCGGUUCAAUAAGUCUGAUGUGAAAGCCUUCGGCUCAACCGGAGAAUUGCAUCAGAAACUGUUGAACUUGAGUGCAGAAGAGGAGAGUGGAACUCCAUGUGUAGCGGUGGAAUGCGUAGAUAUAUGGAAGAACACCAGUGGCGAAGGCGGCUCUCUGGUCUGCAACUGACGCUGAGG
rnacentral:rRNA from 1 species